rnacentral:lncRNA from 1 species
AAUAGACACAUUUUCAUAAAGGUGCAUUGUUUGGAAAGGGUGCAUGAUUUGGCCUCAACCAUUUCGUCCACACCCCUUCAUGGUCUAUAAAUAGGACCCUUUGGGUGUCCUAUUCCUCACAGUUUGAUAUGCAAAAACGUCUCUCAUCCUCUCUUCUAUCCAAAAUCAAAAUCAUUUCAUUUAUUUUGAUUUUCUUUCAUUUCAUCUGUGGAGUACAUAAGCCUACAUUGGGUUCGUUGUACUUGUGUUUUGGAGUGCUACAAACACAAGUGUAGCCGUUGUAUCUUGGGAGUCGAUUGCCGAAAUCCGUAGGCACCGUUGCGGGGCAAAUUCGACUUAAGGACAAAGAGUCCAACUCUUGCCUCGGCUUUGUCACCAUCAUUAUACUUAUUUCGGCGUCACUAUUCACAAAAUUCUUCCAACAACACUUCUACCACAAACUUAAUCAAAGCCGAAAACCCAUUAGGCAACUAGUGCCACCACCGACCUAAAUUGCCACGACCUCUACCAUCAACCCAUACUAGAACCACCUACCACCAGUGUCAACAACUACCAACACAUGUAAAUCCAAAAAAUCCUAACACCACAAAGGAAAAAAAAGCACAUAUUCUCAUUUUCAUAUCCAAAUUCACUCGAUCGAGAAAUGUUUUCAAACAACAUUAAGCCCCCAUUAGUUCCCCAUUUUGUGGAAAUAAAAAUAGGUGGAAUAAUUUUAUUUUAUUUUUUUUGAAAAUUGAGUGGUUGAAAAAGAAGGAAAAGUUUUCGAUUUACGUGUAAUAAUAUUUUUGAAAAAUUAUAUGGUUGAAAAUAUGAGAAAAAAUGAAAUGUAAUGGAAUGAAAAUUAAGGGGGCCAAACGGGGGCUAAAGAACAAAAUCCAGAUCAAGAAAAUGAAAAAGAAGAAAAAAGCUGAGAUUUGAUUCCUUUUGACAAACUUGGCACUGGGAGCUCCACAUGGGAUUUCAAUGUCAAACUCAACAAUGGAACAUCACACCCCACCUCUCGAGUCGAACUCGAACUUUUAAAAUCAUUAGGAUCAAGAAUGAGGUUCAAUUUGAUUUGUUUGUUGGUUUGGUUUUGUUGGGGUGAUGUUGAUUUCUAGUUUUGUGGGGUGGUAUGGUGG